rnacentral:rRNA from 1 species
UACGACGGGUACGGGUUGUGAGAGCAAGAGCCCCGGAGAUGGAUUCUGAGACACGAAUCCAGGCCCUACGGGGUGCAGCAGGCGCGAAAACUUUACAAUGCGGGAAACCGUGAUAAGGGAAUCUCGAGUGCCAGCAUAUAAUGUUGGCUGUCCAGAUGCCUAAAAAGCAUCUGUUAGCAAGGNCCGGGCAAGACCGGUGCCAGCCGCCGCGGUAACACCGGCGGCCCGAGUGGUAACCGCUUUUAUUGGGUCUAAAGGGUCUGUAGCCGGCCAAGUAAGUCCCUUGGGAAAUCUGGCAGCUUAACUGUCAGGCUGCUAGGGGAUACUGCUAGGCUUGGGACCGGGAGAGGUGAGAGGUACCUUGGGGGUAGGGGUGAAAUCUUGUGAUCCUCGGGGGACCACCAGUGGCGAAGGCGUCUCACCAGAACGGGUCCGACGGUAAGGGACGAAAGCUAGGGGCACGAACCGGAUUAGAUACCCGGGUAGUCCUAGCCGUAAACGAUGCUCGCUAGGUGUCAGUCACGGUGCGACCGUGAUUGGUGCCGUAGGGAAGCCGUGAAGCGAGCCACCUGGGGAGUAUGGCCGCAAGGCUGAAACUUAAAGGAAUUGGCGGGGGAGCACUACAACGGGUGGAGCCUGCGGUUUAAUUGGAUUCAACGCCGGG